rnacentral:rRNA from 1 species
AAUCAACGCUGGCGGCGUGCCUCAGACAUGCAAGUCGAACGCGAAAGUUUCCUUCGGGAAGCGAGUAGAGUGGCGUCCGGGUGAGUAACACGUAGGUAAUCUACCUUUGGGUGGGGAAUAACAACCGGAAACGGUUGCUAAUACCGCAUAAUGCAGCGGCACCACAUGGUGGCAGUUGUUAAAGCGGGGGAUCGCAAGACCUCGCGCCUAAAGAGGAGCCUGCGGCGGAUUAGCUAGUGGUAAGGUAACGGCUUACCAAGGCAACGAUCCGUAGCCGGCCUGAGAGGGCGGUCGGCCACACUGACACUGAAAUACGGGUCAGACUCCUACGGGAGGCAGCAGUCGGGAAUUUUGGGCAAUGGGCGAAAGCCUGACCCAGCAACGCCGCGUGAAGGAUGAAAUCCCUCGGGAUGUAAACUUCGCAAGAACAGGAAGAAUAAGUAGGGGAC